CUCCCGAGGAGCGUCGGGACCGCCACUGCGCGUCCGUCCCCUCCACCACACCUGCUCCCACGACUCUCCACGCAGGAAUUAAAUGCGUCGGAGUGAGCCCCCGCCCCGCGAAUCUGCAGGCGGCCGGGGCGCGCACUCACGGGCGCGGGCCCCGACCCCAGCCCCAGACAGUGGGCCCGGGCGCCCCGGGCGUUGCUUGGCAACGGGGCCGCGAGGGGAUUUCCCGUGCUCCGCCCCGUGACGCCUCGGGGGACACGCACUUCCUGCGUCCCCGGAAGUGGCGUGAGCGCCAGGCCGGCCCGGUGGAGGCGGAAGUGGAGCCGCCCCGAGGUGUCUCCGUGCCGCCCGCUCCUCAGCCCAGCGGUGCCUCGGCCCAUGGCCGCGUAUCCGUACCGCCCGGGCCCCGGGGCCGGCCCUGCGGCGGGCGCGGCCCUGCCGGACCAGAGCUUCCUGUGGAACGUCUUCCAGAGGGUUGAUAAAGACAGGAGCGGGGUGAUCUCGGACAACGAGCUUCAGCAAGCACUAUCCAAUGGCACGUGGACUCCAUUUAAUCCCGUGACUGUCAGGUCGAUCAUAUCUAUGUUUGACCGGGAGAACAAGGCCGGCGUGAACUUCAGCGAGUUCACUGGCGUCUGGAAGUACAUCACAGACUGGCAGAACGUCUUUCGCACCUACGACCGGGACAAUUCUGGGAUGAUUGACAAGAACGAGCUCAAGCAGGCGCUCUCAGGUUUCGGGUACCGGCUCUCUGACCAGUUUCACGACAUCCUCAUUCGAAAGUUUGACAGACAAGGACGGGGGCAGAUCGCCUUUGACGACUUCAUCCAGGGCUGCAUCGUCUUGCAGGAGAAGGGUAAAUUUUCCAUUGUGAGCUUCCCUGUGCCCUGCCUUCGUGUGUGAGCCUUUUCUUUGAUGUCUGUCCCACACCCUCAUGAGUUCACCCCCAAGGGAACCAAGUGCAGAACGUAGGGAGCCUGCUCAGAGACGCCCACUUAAGGUGGAGGGCAGGAGGGAUCGGACUCGCCUUGGCUGUUCCCACGCAGGCCCCUGCUCCUGUUCCAGAUCAGUAAAUGUGAAGUCCCUCUGACUGGCCUGCUAGCUUCAGUCAUCGUGAUUUCUUACUGAGGUUGACGGAUAUAUUCAGACGCUACGAUACGGAUCAGGAUGGCUGGAUUCAGGUCUCAUAUGAACAGUAUCUUUCCAUGGUCUUCAGCAUCGUAUAACCCUGGCCUUUGGCAAAUAGCAACGUAACUUACGGAAAAAAAGACAUUUUCAAAUGCCAAAUCUUUUAACCUUUAAUUAAAUGGAACAGAAACGGUUAGAUACUGUUCUUCCUUUAGAUUUUAUAUAAUAUUUGGGAAUCCAACUGUACAUAUGUGGAUAAGCAGAUUAAUGUUUUGCGAUUGUAACAAUAGUUAAAUCAUUAUUCAGAUAGAGACAUUUGAUUUGGUGACUGUUUAAUUGUGCCAUGAAGUCGGAUAGAAUAAUGUUUCACGUAUCCUGCAUGCAGAAAAUGCAUCAUGUGCUUUUCUAGAUAGCUCUAGUUCUGUAGUGCAAAUACUUUUAUUAGCCAAUAGGAAUUUUAAAAUAAUAUGAAACUUACACAGAGAGCUUUUCAUGUGCCUUUUUUAAAAAGGGGUUUAUUGUAUUCAUUUGGAUAUGCAAUGUAAGCAAUAAAGCACACGUGCCCCUUGUCUCA